GUCAGGUUCACCAAUUUCAAUCAAAUCUACCAGUACAUUAAAAUGAUUGAAAAUGCAGUUAAAUCCAUCAACAAUGUCUUGGGAUGGUAACAAAGGCAAUGCCAUUAACAUGUGGACAAUUUUCCAGAAGAAUGGAUUUGUCUUGGCUAACUCUGUCAGACCUAAGGGUAAUAAAUAUAAUUGAACAACCUUCUUCGCCAUGUCCUCUUACUGUACCAGCAUAAAUAUUUACUCCCAAGAUAGCUGCUCUAUGACGAUAUGGGCCAUCUAGCUGAAGACUAAACUCUUCCAUUGAUGGCGGAUUUUGUGGUUGACCAUCUUUCCGAAAUCUUGCCAUUGUUCUACAAAGGCUUUCAUAGCGGUUCACAUUAACAUCAACAAAUGUUUCAUUUGUGGACAUCUAAUAUUCAAUUAAAUACAUAAA